rnacentral:rRNA from 1 species
GACGAGUGGCCCAAGCGUUAGUCGGAAUCACUGGGCUUGAAGCGUGCGCAGGCGGACCUUCAGGCGUCCCGUGAAAUCCCCCGGCUCAACCGGGGAAUGGCGGGGCGAACCGUUGGUCUUGAGGCAGGUAGGGGGGCGCAGAACUGUCGGUGGAGCGGUGAAAUGCGUAGAUAUCGACAGGAAUGCCGAAGGGGAAGCCGGCGCCCUGGGCCUGUCCUGACGCUCAUGCACGAAAGCGUGGGGAGCAAACAGG